GACGAACGCUGGCGGCGUGCCUAACACAUGCAAGUCGAGCGGGAAAUCUCAAAUUGAAGCUUCGGCCGAUUUUUGAGAUGGAGAGCGGCGGACGGGUGAGUAACGCGUGAGUAACCUGCCCCUCAGAAUGGGAUAACACAUCGAAAGGUGUGCUAAUACCGUAUAAUGUAUCUUUACCGCAUGAUAGAGACACCAAAGAUUUAUCGCUGAGGGAUGGACUCGCGUCUGAUUAGCUUGUUGGCGGGGUAACGGCCCACCAAGGCGACGAUCAGUAGCCGAACUGAGAGGUUGAUCGGCCACAUUGGGACUGAGACACGGCCCAG
rnacentral:rRNA from 1 species